GGCCAGGUAGCUCAGUCGGUAGAGCAGCGGACUGAAAAUCCGCGUGUCGGCGGUUCAAUUCCGUCCCUGGCCACCA
rnacentral:tRNA from 1 species